UACGAAGGGGGCUAGCGUUGCUCGGAAUCACUGGGCGUAAAGCGCACGUAGGCGGCUUCUUAAGUCAGGGGUGAAAUCCUGGAGCUCAACUCCAGAACUGCCUUUGAUACUGGGAAGCUCGAGUCCGGGAGAGGUGAGUGGAACUCCGAGUGUAGAGGUGAAAUUCGUAGAUAUUCGGAAGAACACCAGUGGCGAAGGCGGCUCACUGGUCCGGUACUGACGCUGAGGUGCGAAAGCGUGGGGAGCAAACAGGG
rnacentral:rRNA from 1 species